rnacentral:lncRNA from 1 species
GUAAAUGUAAGAAAGGAUUCAUUUCGCAACACCUACGGCUUCCACUAGAUGUCAACGAUCUUUAUAAAGUUGUUUGAAGCGUCUAUGAUAAACAGAGAGCAAAUUAGAAUCCAAGGAAGUUGACAUGUCAUCACUUCAUUUUUUUGCGCCUGCGCAUAAAUCUGAGAAACGUGAGUUUUGUCUUCAUUGUUUAUCUCGACAUAGGAUAGGUUGUGUGAAAAUAUUACUGAUGUUUAACGUUAAAAAUGGACCAAAAGAUUAAUGCUAAACAACAUUUGACAUGUUUGAACGAACAUAAAUAGAUUAUUUACUAGGUUUUUUUAGCUUUUCGGGCGUGAUUUUACAGUCCCCCACCAUGUUUUGUGGGAGCAUAAUGAACGCUAAGUACUUGGUGUUAUUUGGACAUAAAUUAUGAACUUUGUCAAAAGAAACCACAUUUGUUCCGGACCUGGGAUGCCUUCCGGACCUGGGAUGCCUGUCUUCUGAUGGAGAUAAUCAAAGCAGGAGGCGUCUCAGGACUUGGCAGACGGGCAGGAUUUGUUCCGGAAGGGUCUUGGAGAAGAUUAGGAUGUCAUCGAGAAUACUGCCUCACAAAAUGGAAGCAGCAGCCAACCGAGACAUCUUCCAGAUGGUCCAAUAACAGGAAGAUCUACUUCGCCAAGACCACGACCAGCUGGGGCAACUGGAGACGGCUAUGGAUGAGGUCCUCCGUGUUCUUCAACAUCUAGAUCUUCAUCAAGAGGACUCACCUCCAACGAGUCGGAGGAUCCUAUACCAUGAGUCGACCCAGAAAGCCAGCACUUCAGCCCAUUCAACAAUUCGCCCAGGUCAGCGAUGUCCGCUUGUCAAAUAUGAUGGGACUCCAUCUAAAUGCUGUGGCUUCCUCCUCCAGUGCUCCCUCUAUUUCACUCAUCAGAUGGGAGCCCCCCACCAACGAGAGGUCCAAGGUUGCAAUGGUUAUUUCCCUGCUGACCGGGCGGGCAUUGGAGUGUGCUACAGCCAUCUGGGAGAGAGAAGAUGAGGAGCUGGGUUCCUAUGACAGGUUCAAGGCUCUGUUCAGAGGAAUCUUUGAUCAUCCACCGGAGGGCAGAGUGGGGGGUGAGAGCCUACUCCAACUACGGCAGGAAUCCAGACCGCUGCGCAGUACGCCCUCACCUUCCGUACAGUGGCAGAAUACAGCGGAUGGAAUGAGGCGGCGCUCCGUACCUUAUUUAGAAGACAAUUGCGCAAAGAGGUCCAGACGGAGUUGCCAUGCAGAGACAACACCCUCUCGUUGGAUGCCAUCCAUCUAGAGCCUGAACCCAUGGAGGUAGGGGCCACAUGCCUCCCCGCGGCUGAGCGUGGCCAUCGGAGACGGCUUGGGCUCUGUCCCUUUUGUGGUCUGGAGGGGCACCAGCUUCAACGGUGUCCACUACGUCCCAACCCGGGAUCCACUAGAGCAGGGGGACGGCCCUGUGAUCAUCCUUCUCCUGGUGUAGGCGUGAGAAUUCUAUCAUCACUUUCCGUCAAACCCUUUUUAGUACCGAUUUCACUAGCUGGCUGUCCCUCAUGUGUUGUUUCUACAGUUCUAGUGGAUUCCGGUGCCGCGGGGACAUUUUAUUGACCAGGCCCUUGCUUCCCUCCCUUAACAUAACUUUAUACCCGCUCUCCUCUCCGUGGCAAGCGCUGGAUAAUUGACCACUGGGAUCUGGGACAAUCACACACAUCACAGAACCACUCACUAUCACAGUGGGACUCCUGCACCAGGAGAGCCCUUACUCAUCAUCAAGGCACCCAUACACAGCAGGUAGCCUAGUGGUUAGAGCGUUGGGCCAGUAACCGAAAUUCGAACUCCCGAGCUGACAAGUUUCAGAAAGCACACACACACACACACAGUACUGAAGAUAACUUGCCAACAUCAUAACUGGAACUGGACAUCUGUCUUGUUGAAGAUUGAGGACAGCUUUGUAUGCUAGCAACAUACUGUUUGGAGAGAUAGUAGGGAGGACGAGGGAGUGGAGAGGAUGAUGAGGGAGUGGGGUGGCGGUCCACCUUCCUUGUGGCUCUCUCUUCUCCUGUAUCUCCAAG